UACGGAGGGUGCAAGCGUUAUCCGGAUUCACUGGGUUUAAAGGGUGCGUAGGCGGACAGGUAAGUCAGUGGUGAAAUCUCCGAGCUUAACUCGGAAACUGCCGUUGAUACUAUUUGUCUUGAAUAUUGUGGAGGUAAGCGGAAUAUGUCAUGUAGCGGUGAAAUGCUUAGAUAUGACAUAGAACACCAAUUGCGAAGGCAGAUUACUAAUAAUGUACUGACACUGAUGGACGAAAGCGUGGGGAGCGAACAGG
rnacentral:rRNA from 1 species